rnacentral:rRNA from 1 species
CCUACGGGAGGCAGCAGUGAGGAAUAUUGGUCAAUGGGCGGGAGCCUGAACCAGCCAAGCCGCGUGAGGGAAGAAGGUACAGCGUAUCGUAAACCUCUUUUGUCAGGGAACAAAGGCGGGGACUUGUCCCCGGAUGAGGGUACCUGAAGAAAAAGCAUCGGCUAACUCCGUGCCAGCAGCCGCGGUAAUACGGAGGAUGCGAGCGUUAUCCGGAUUUAUUGGGUUUAAAGGGUGCGCAGGGGGGCUGUUAAGUCAGUGGUAAAAGCUCGGGGCUCAACCCCAGAGAGCCGUUGAAACUGGCAGGCUGGAGUAGAGGUGAGGUACGCGGAAUGCGCGGUGUAGCGGUGAAAUGCUUAGAUAGCACGAAGAACUCCGAUUGCGAAGGCAGCUUACGAGAUCGACACUGACGCUGAGGCACGAAAGCGUGGGUAUCGAACAGGAUUAGAUACCCCAGUAGUC